ensembl:snoRNA small nucleolar RNA U13
AUCCUUUUGUAGUUCAUAAGCGUGAUGAUUGGGUGUUCACACCAUUGUGUGAUACGUGUCUCCCUCAAACCUUGUUAUGACCUUGGCAUAUUACCCAUCUGAUG